rnacentral:lncRNA from 1 species
UCUUUUAGGAAUAAAGCUUUUUUUUUAGAAAAGAAAACUUUUUAUUUAAGGAAAUUCGAUCACACCAAAAGAUCUUCAUAGAAUCCUUGUUUAACCAAUAUUCAAUGUGAUCUAAUCCAAUAAAUUACUACUUAGAAUCCUCAAAGUAAUGUAGAAAUAAGUCCAAGGUUGUUUGGUUAAAAGAUGUCAACAAAUAUGGCAAGUUGCACAACAACCCAAUUGUAAAGUGAACUGCAGUUGACAUUGCAUCUUGGACAUGCAACUGUCAUUAGCAUUUUAGUUUCUAAGUUGGUUAUUGUUGGUAUAGGUUGUUGUAAUGGCCAAUUUUUGGCCUAGGCAAAUAAACAAAAAAUAAAAUCCAAAUAACCAAAUAAAAGUCCAUUUUACAAACCAAAUCAGCCCAAUAAUACAAUACCCAAACCCAUACAAACCAAACCAGCCCAAAUUUUAAAACCGAAUACAAACCCAAACUACCCAGGCCCAUUUCUAACCCUAACCCAACAACACUUUCAGAAAACAAAGAACCCUAGCACUGCAGUCGCUGCUCAGCCCCCCCAUGCGCGCCACUACCGCCAUCGCUGGCCACCACGCGUGUCUGACACCUGCAAAGAAGGAUUUACACGCAAACAAAAGGAAACAACGAACAAGAGGAAAAAAACGAUAGCAAACAAAAGAAAAAAAAACGAAGAAACAGACAAAGAAUAGAAAUAGAACGAGCAUGUAUUCGGCUAUAAAAGCCAUUUUCGUUCCCUUUGUAUUUUUUUACGCACAUUAAGCAAUCAAAAUAGCAAAAAACCAAAAAAGGUUGAUUUUAUUUCCAUUUUCGUUUUAAGUUCUGAGUUCAUUUAUUCAGUUUUAUUAUUAUUAUUUAUACGAAAAUAGACAAAAGUAAAAAGAAGGAAAGGGAACUUAUCAAUUUAUUCCGUGGUCGCGCCAUCAGAGCCUCCUUCUCUGUUGCCGGACUCGAGUCCAAAAGAGGCAGAGGGGUCUUCUCUUUUCGAUCCUUUUAGGGUUAAAAAAAGGGAGGGGCCUUUAGGCGCGUUUAAACAGGGGCUAAAGGGCCCAUUAUCGUACCUCCGACCACUGCUUAUGGCGGCAGGUGCGGAGGUGAACCGCAUCCUCGGUGACCAGAGGAAAAGGGGAAGGGAGAGAGAGCAAAGAAGCUCUCUGUUUUUAAAAAAAAAAAACUGAGGAUGAAAAUGAAUUUUGUAAAAAAUUUGGGUUUAAAUACAACCCAUGGAACGGCGCCGUUUUUGGGUGUGUGUGCAGGUGCCAAAACAGCACCGUUUUGGACCACCCGUGCGUGACCCGACCCGCCACUAAGGGGAUCCGCGUGUUUCAUCCUUUGGGGAUUAUUUCGCGCGUGGUCCCUCCACUUUUGGGGUACACCGCAAUCAGGCCCUUGUUUGUUUCUUUUAAUCUUUUAGAUUUUAGCCACACAAUUUCAUUUUUGAUACACCUUAGUCCUUUGAAACGCUGCGCAUAGAGGGCUGGGAAUAUUUUCCUAAUCAGUCCCUCGUUCUUUUUUGUGCGCUUCACUUUGGUCCUUAAUGCCUUUUUUUUAUUUAUAAUUUUUACCUCUAAGUUUCUAUUUAAUUUCAGCCUAGUCCUAGUCUAUUAAUUAAUUAAUUAAUUUAUUUAUUCAGUUUUUUUGGGACUAUUUUUUAUUAUUUAUUUUAAGUUUGUAGUCUUACAUUAUUCAUUUUAAAAAUCAUUUUAUUAUUAUGUAUAUUCAGUUUUUUUUAUUUACAUUUUUUAAAUCAUCAUUCAUUUUAAAUUUUAUAUAUAUUGUUUACUUUAAACUAUUAUGCAUAUCUAUUUUAAGUUUUUAUAUAUAUUACUCGGUUUAAAUUAUUUUAUAUGUUAUUUACUUCAAAUUUCUUUUACAUUAUUAUUUUUUAAACUAUUAUAUAUUUUUUAUAUAUUAUGUAUUCUAAAUUUCUUUUUAUAUUAUUUAGUUUAAACUUUUAUAUGUCAUUUUAAAUUGUUUUUUUUAAAUUAGUUAUUUUAGAUUGUCUAUAUAUUAUUUUAUUCUAAAUUGCUUUGUAUAUUGUUUUUACUAACUUAAAAAUUACUUUCGUAAUACCUAUUUUAAACUUGUUUUUUUUAUGUAUUAUUUGUUUAGAAUUCUUAUUAUUUAUUCUAAAUCGUUUAUAUUAUUUAUUUCAUUUCUUUAUUAUUAAUGAUUAGUAUUUAAAUAAUGUAUGUUGUGUGAUUGUCGCCAUUGUGUAUUUCAAUUCGCCCAUUUCAUAUUUUUGCAUUAUUGUUAUUCAUUCGUAUAAUGUUGUGUUCAUGUAUCCUUGCUCUAGGCUCAUUACUAUAUUUCUAUUUCAUAUCAUCGCCUCAUGAAUCAAACCUCUUUGCGUUUAUCCAAUAAAUCAUUUAAUUUUAAUCCAAACAAAUAACGCACGUCGUUUAGAUAUUGUACUCGCUAUUAUUCAAAAGCAAAAAUUUCAAAAUAAGGCAAUGUUUCGCGUUUUGGAACGUCGAGGAAUUGUGCCCUAACUUACGAGGUUUCGAUUUUCUCGUUGAUUCUAAAUAGCCAAAUACCCUUUUGAGUUUCAAAAUACCCAAAAUUCCAAUUAAAAUUAAAGACGACUUUGCGCUCAGGAGUUCAUGGUAUUGUGUCCUAACUUACGGGAUGUGUUUAACUUUCGACAUUAAGACACUAACUAAUAAAUUCGGUACCAAUUUUUGGGCGUGUCGGGGGUGCUAAUCCUUCCUCGCACGUAACCGACUCCCGAAUCCUUUUCUCUCGAGUUUCAUAGACCAAAAACACCGUUUUAGUAAACUAAAAUGUUUUAUUAAAACAAAGGUGAUCUGAUCACACCUAAUAAAGAUCGGUGGCUACUCCCGUUUUAAUUUUCACUCUCAAACAAAGUCGAUUCCCGUUUUCAAAUAAAAUGGUUUCGACAGUUUGGCGACUCCACUGGGGAGGUUGAGAGUCAAGCCAUAAAUUGAUUAGUUUUUAUCCUUCGUCGAAAAUUAAAAAUUCGUUUUAAACUUGCGAUCAUUUCAUUGCAUCAUUUAUGUGCAUUUCCUCUGUGUGGUUUCUGUCUCUUUAUAUGAUUGGCUUUUUGUUUAACUUUUUUAAGUAUACUUUUGCACAUCAUACUACAUAAUUGGUCAAUUUUACCCCUUUAAGUAGGAGUGAGAAACUACUCAUUCGUGAGGUCUUCACCUCCGUAUAGGAUAGUGGAUCGCUUUCGGGAUACAUCCGUACCUACGUCUUUGUGAGGUUUUCAUCUUCGUAUAGUCGUAGGGAAAUGUAUUCCCCUGAAUUAAACUCGGUCCGUAUGAGCUUAUAAUGGGUGAGGAUCGAGGAAUCUACUGGUUCAGGUACCUUUACUUUAGAACCGAACCACAUGUAAUGAGCCCUAAGAGCCUACCUAGGUAGAACCACACCAAACCCUAGUGGUUACCCGAAUAGGUGCUUAAUUAUUUCCUGUUUGCUUUGAGUUCUAUUCUUUGUUUUAAUACUGACUUGUUGUGUUUUGUUGUUAUUGCAUGACAUCUCAUCAUAAGCAGGUGUUGAUUCAUGUUCGGUUACUAGAUAGAAAAGCUUAACAUGGAAAAAGGAUUUCUUGAUAGAGUGGAGGAUAAUGCGGCAGUCCGAGUGUGGUCCGAGAGAAUGUAACAAGAGAAAGGAGAUAGUUUGACCGAGGGAUAUGAAUCAGAGUUGUGGGAUUUCACUCGCAUCAGCGUGACUCAGAACGACCUGCAAGAAUUAAGGGAUAUGUGGAAUAGUUGGAAUAGCGAGGUCAAGCAAUUUUUUUACUGUAACAAGGUAGACAAAUAUUUGUUCCAGGCCCUCGCGCAGUUUUGGAACCCCGCUUACAGUUUCAACUUCGGAGGAGUCGAUUUAGUACCUACUGUGGAGGAAUACAUGGCGUUACUUAACUGCCCGAAGAUUCAGGCCGACAGGGCCUAUUCAAGACCUGUCAAUGUCCCUCUCUUUUUGAAGAAAUUGAUGAAUAUCACGGGGAUGAGCGAGCAAUGGGUUGUUUCCCUCAUCAAGCAAAAAAGGGAUAGUAAGUGUAUUCCUUAGAGGAAUUUGAGGAACUUGAUUCUUGCACACCCGGAUUCGAAGAAAAUGGUUGAUGUUUUUUCCUUAAGCCUCUACAGUUUGAUCAUCUUUCCUAAGGCGCUAGGACACAUAGAUGAAGCCGUCUCAGAUUUAUUCGAUCGACUUGAUAAAGGUACCACACCCGUCUCGGCAAUCAUAGCAGAAACUUUCAUAUCCUUGAAUGCAUGUUGGAGAGCGGGCGAAGGAAGAUUUAUUGGUUGUGCAUAGCUUCUAUUAGCUUGGGUCCAUAGCCAUUUUUGGAAGGUGGAGAAGGUCUCCUAUCGGUUUUUCUCUAAGGACUAUUCCUCAUUAAGAGAAUUAGUGGCCACAUCGAGGCGAGACGACAUCUCAAAAGAGAAAUGGAUAACUAUUCUCCAGAAUUUGUGAGCCGAAGAUGUUGAAUAAAGGGCUCCGUGGUUGAUCCCUGACGAGAUCUUAUAUCGGUACGGUGAUUUUGACUGGGUCCUUCUGGCUAGAAUAUGGGGAGUCGUUGGAUACGCUCCACUGAUAGUGUUAAGGCAGUAUCGAUCAAGGUAGUUUAUACCGGUGACACAAAGGUUGGCACAAUGUGAGUUCCCCUAUAAAGACAACAAUUAUAAGAGGAAGGUUCGUGAGAUAUCAGAUGCUUGGAACCGAACUCGAAGAAUGAAAGGAUUCAUCACGGGGUUCGAUGACGACCCCCGAGUAUGAAUGGUGGUGGGGUAAGAGAGUCAACGACAACAUCCCUAGGCCAAAUCAAGGGAACACUCAACCGAUAGAGGAACAUUUACGAGUCAUCCCAUUCGAGUUAGAGAUUAUUAAGUAAGACUUCGAGAAAAGGAACUCGGAGUUGGGGAAGAAGAUAGAGCAGCUAGAAGAAGAGAAAAUAAAGUGUGGAUUAGACGUUGAUAUCCACAAGCUAGAGGCCGAGAAAUUGAGGAAGGGAAAGAAUAAGGCCGAGGAAGAUUUGGAUAGUCUGAAAAUCGAUUACAAGAAGCUGUGUAUGUCGAUAAGAACCGUCACUUUAGGUAAAACAUCGGAGCAAUGGCGUCAAGAGAUUAAAGAGGAAAAUACUAGAGCCGACCAUUGGGAGAAAAGGUUUCAAGAUGCCCAAGUACGAGAGGACACUCUAAAUUGGAAAGAGUUUGUUAGAAAGCCAAAACGAAAAGGAGAAGUUACGAGCUCGGGUGGCUGAAUUGGAAAGAUCACUACAUCAACAUCGUAGCCGUAAUUCCGUAAUUGAACUGAAGACUAGUCUGAGUAGGAUCGAAGAGUUGAAAAGGAAAGUAGAGGAACUCGAGACUGUGCUACGAGAUAGUAAAAUUCGAGUGGAACUUCUUGAGGCAAACAACGACCAUUACAGGGAACAACUUCACCGCUCUCAAGACCAGAUUAGAGAUAGAGACUAUGUCAUGGGCGAAGCUGUGGCUCAGGUUCGGGAGGUAGCCGAUCACUUGCAAACCUUGGCAGUUCAGGCUGGUGUAUUGAGCUUAAAGUACGAGUCGGAAUCAGAUCGAGGCCGAAGUUUAGCUUGGCUUCUUAGGAAGGUUAAGGCUUUGGGUAUUAGGCCAAAGUCAUAUAUGUAAUCAUCCGUUCUAUGUAAAUAAUUUUUUUCUUCUAGUAAAGUUCUUCUAAUAAAAUUGAAUCGGAAUCAACGCCUCUUUUUACAUUCAUUCAUUUGCAUUACAUUUCAUCAUAUGCAUUAAAUUUCACGAAAAGACCCUGAUUAAACAAAAUUAUUUCAGUUAAUCUGGAAACCAGCAAGAAUCAACCAACCAAACACAGCUACAAUACCCGUCGUAAAACCAAAACAAUGGAUCAGAGAUUAAAAAGAUUAGAACAAAUGCAAAGGGAUAUGCAAGAGCAAUUACAAGCACAGAUGCAAAAGCAAUUAGCAAGAAUCCAACACGACAUGAGGGAACAAAUGCAAGAAUCCCAGAAUAACAUGAUAAGUCAGUUGGCACAGUUGCUGGGAAAGGAACAUGAAAAAGGGAGGAGCACUGCGAUCAAUUCAGGGAACGAUAAUGAAGACCCUAUCUAUCCUCCAGGCUUUACUUCGGUAAACACUCAAUCAUAACCGGAGGUGCACCCAUGACCGGUACCUGUCACUAUUAGGCCCCAGUAAUACCAGGCCGGUGCCUCGACACAGAUGAAUGUUCCUAUAGGUUUGGGCUCUAAUCCUGGGGAUAAUCCAGCUAAUCCAUUUGUCCCGGACCUUGAUGAUAUGGAAGAAAUGGAGAAAGGAAAAGUAGACCUGGCGAAACAACUCAAUGACCGGUGUAAAUAGCUUGAAGAAAAAUUUAAAGCAAUGGAGACUACUGAUUACCGUAGCGGGAUUGAUGCUAAGGACUUAAGCUUGGUCCCAGAUCUGGUGCUCCCACCAAAAUUUAAAACCCCGGAGUUUGAAAAGCACAACGGGACUAGCUGCCUUGAAGCUCACAUAACGAUGUUCUGUCGAAAGAUGACAGGAUGUGUUAACAAUGAUUAGCUGUUAAUUCACUAUUUCCAAGACAGUCUGAUCGAGUCAGUGGCCAAGUGGUAUAACCAGCUAAGUCGUGCCCAAAUUGGUUCGUGGAAGGACUUGGCUCAAGCUUUCAUGAGACAAUACGAUCACGUGACAGACAUAGCACCCGACAGAAUUACAUUACAAAAUAUGGAAAAGAAGCCAAGUGAGAGCUUUAGGUAGUUGCCUAACGAUGGAGGGAGAUAGCGAUGCAAGUCCAACCACCUUUCUUGGAGAAGGAAACAACCAUGAUUUUUAUCAAUACCCUGAAGGUCCCAUUUAUUAACCAUAUGUUGGGAAGCACUACUAAGAGCUUCUCGGACAUAGUAAUGUCUGGGGAGAUGAUAGAAAAUGUGGUAAGAUGUGGGAAAAUUAAAGCGAGGGAAAGUGCCAAGAGAUCAGCUCUAAGAAGGAAAGAAAACGAGGUGAACAAUGCGAGCGUAUACAAUAAAGGUUAUUCUAAGCCUGUCACAGUGAGCCAGCCGAGGGCAGUAACUACUAACCAUCAAGGCUCCGCAAGAUAAGACUCUAACCCGAGGCCUAACACAGAAAGAGUUCAGUUUACGCCAAUCCCAAUGACGUAUAGAGAGUUUUACCAGAAUCUGUUCGAUGUACAUUUAGUGUCCUCAUUUUACCUAAAACCCAUGCAACCUCUAUUUUGCAAGUGGUAUGACGCAAACGCACAAUACGAAUACCAUGCAGGAAUCUCGGGACACAAGAUUGAGAACUGCACUGCUUUCAAAAAAUUAGUUGAAAGGUUCAUAAAGAUGGGCAUUGUAAAGUUCGAUGAUCUCACAGGACCUAAUAUGGCAGGGAAUCUGUUGCCCAAUCAUUCAGACAAAGUGGUAAACAUGAUAAUUAGAAAAGGAGGGAAGAGAGCCAAGAUGGACGUAGCAAAGGUGAAGACUCUGUUGAGAUGGGUUUGGAAGAAAAUGGUGGAAGAAGGUUUAGUUACACAAGAUUAAGGGGAAAAGCCUGAAGGAGCAAAGUACUACUGCGAAUUCCACGAUGAGGAGGGGCAUGAGAUCCAAAAGUACAAUGAAUUCAGGGCACUGGUACAAAGAUUGAUAGAAAAUAAAAAGAUUUGAUUCUUUGAGUAUACUGAGAGCCUGGAAGGAGAAGAUGUAUGUGCCUCAAAAGGAGGGUCAACCAACAAAGUCACCGGGGGAAAUCGCCUAGUGGUAAUCAUAUCACGACCAAGAAUCAGUGAAGUAGGAGUACCAACUGCGCCAAAGGUCAUAAUCUAAAAACCCGGUACUUUCCCUUAUAAAGAUAGCAAGAGUGUGCCUUGGAACUAUGACUGUAACGUGACAAUCUCGGGAAAGGAGAACCCGGUUGGCACUUCAGAGGAAGGUCAAGAUGAAAGUUUCUAUACACGAAGUAGAAGGCGUUAUACCCUGAAUACAAAAGCAGAAUCAGUUAAAGGAAAAUCCGUGGUUGUUGAAUAAAGAAGGGAAAAGGCAACUAGACCGGAAUCACCUAUCAAUAAGCCUGUGACUGAAAAAGAGGCUAAGGAAUUCUUAAAAUUCCUAAAGCACAACGAGUACAGCGUUGUUGAAUAGUUGCACAAACAGCCAGCUUACAUAUCGGUACUAUCCUUGCUCUUAAGCUCAGAGACACAUCGUAGUGCAUUGAUGAAAGUGUUAAAUGAAACAUAUGUUUCGGAUGAUAUCUCUGUCAACAAACUCGAUCAUCUGGUCAAUAACAUCAGCGCUGAUAAUUUUAUUUUCUUUAAUGAUGAUAAAAUACCACCGGGAGGUAUGGGAUCUACAAAGGCCCUGCAUAUCACCAUUCGUUGCAAAGGACACACGUUGCCGGGGGUACUGAUUAAUAAUGGAUCAACGUUGAAUGUCCUACACUUAUCCACGCUAAAUAGACUGCCAGUGGAUAGCUCUCACAUGAAGACAUGUCAAAACAUAGUAAGAGCAUUUGACGGCACUGAAAGAAAAGUGAUGGGAAGAAUCGAGAUACCUCUCUUGAUUGACCCAAAUACAUACGAGGUGGACUUCUUUGUAAUGGAUAUCAAGCCUUCUUAUAAUUGCCUGUUGGGGAGGCCGUGGAUUCACUCGGUGGGGGCAGUGCCGUCGUCACUACACCAAAAGUUGAAUUUGGUAACUGAGGAUAGGUUGGUAACGAUAAACGCGGAGGAAGACAUCAUUGCAUCCGUUACCAGUGACGCACCAUACGUGGGUACGGAUGAUGAGGCGAUAGAGUGUUCCUUUCGAUCACUAGAAUUUGUCAAUGCUACAUUUAUUUUCAAAGGGAAUAAGAUCCAAAUUCCUAAAAUAUCCAAAACUACGAGGAUGGGCCUGCGAUUGAUGGUCGGUAAAGGAGCCUUUUCAGGAAGAGGACUUGGAAGAUGCCUCCAAGGAAGGAUCGAGGUACCAAUGCUAAGGGAAAAACGAGACCGCCUUGGCUUAGGAUUUAAGCCAGAUACGAAGCAAAAGAAGAAAGAGCUGGAGAAAAGAUAAGGGAUGAGAAGAGCGCGUCUGCGAGGUGAGGAGGUCAAAUGGGAGCUGAUGACCUUUCCUCAUUUAUCUAGGACAUUCAUGUCAGGAGGGACUAUUUACUCCAAAAGAAUAUCGACAAGGAAAGAGUCUAGCAUAUCCGAAGGGAAAACUGAAGAGAAUUUAUCUGGAAUUCGCCCUUACAUCCCUGGAAGUGUUUUGAGCAAUUGGACCGCAGAGGAGAUCCCUGUAACUUUUAAGAUUAACUCAGAGUAAUGUUCAAACCAAGCUUAUUGCUCUAAGCCUAGGGGCAAUAAGAAUCCUUUUAUGAAAUAGGCAUAUAUCCAAAUAUCGUUAUUUCAAUAAAAAAAUACAUUUUUGUGUAUCAUCUUGAGCAAAUAUUCUUUUAUUCUUUCUACUUCAUUCAUAAUCAUACCACACAAAUCAAAUAUUCUUAGAUUCUUUUGUUCUUUGGAUUUCUUUCUUCAUCCAUAAUAGGUCUCUAGAUAUCAAUGAUAUGAGCAGCGUUGCCACUGACUCAGAGACUCCUUUCGAGCAAGAUUUGUGUAUGGAGGACACUGAGGAUUUUGAAGAUGACUGAAAUUGUAACCUAUCUCCUGAUUUGUUAAGGAUGGUAGAACAAGAGGAGAAACAAAUUCUACCUCACAAAGAGUCGGUGGAAAUUGUUAGCUUAAGAGAAGGAAAAGAGGUGAAGAUUGGAGCUAGUAUCACUGCAAAAAUAAAGCGAGACCUCAUCGAGUUACUCCGAGAAUUCAAAGAUGUCUUCGCAUGGUCAUAUUAAGACAUGCUCGGUUUGAACACUGACAUCGUGGUACAUCGACUCCCCAUAAAAGAAGAAUGCAGGCCGGUUCAACAGAAACUCCGGAGGAUGAGACUUGAUGUUUUGUUGAAGAUAAAGGAAGAGGUCAAGAAGCAAUUCGACGCCAGUUUCUUACAAGUGGUCAAGUACUCGAACGGGUAGCCAACAUAGUCCCAGUUCCUAAGAAAGAUGGGAAGGUUCGAAUGUGCGUGGACUAUCAGGAUUUGAACAAAGCCAGCCCAAAAGACAAUUUCCCAUUACCUCACAUUGAUACACUAGUAGAUAGCACGGCAGGUUACUCGCUUUUCUCCUUCAUGGAUAGCUUCUCGGGAUACUACCAGAUAAAAAUGCAUCCUGAAGACAUGGAAAAGAUGACAUUUGUAACCAUGUGGGGAACGUUUUGUUAUAAGGUGAUGCCAUUCAAACUGAAAAACGCAGGAGCAACAUAUCAGAGAGCCGUGGUAACUUUGUUCUAUGACAUGAUACACAAGGAGAUUGAAGUUUACGUUGACGGCAUGAUUGCAAAAUCCAGAACAGAAAAGGAGCAUGUGCAAGUCCUGAGGAAAUUAUUUUUAAGGUUGAGGAAGUUCCAGCUAAAGCUUAAUCCCGCAAAGUGUACCUUUGGGGCCCGGUUAGGAAAACUGUUGGGAUUCGUAGUCAGUGAAAAGGGGAUUGAGAUUGACCCAGAUAAAGUCAGGGCCAUACAAGAAUUACCUCCGCCACGCACUAAAAAAGAAGUUCGAGGUUUCCUAGGAAGACUGAAUUACAUCACUCGGUUCAUCUCACAACUAACGGAAAAAUGUGACCCGAUAUUCUGUCUUCUUAGGAAGCAUAAUCCAGGUGUUUGGGAUGAGGAGUUCCAGAAAAAUUUUGACAAAGUCAAGCAUUAUUUGUCCAAUGCCCUAGUACUGAUGCCACCUUACCUAGAUAAACCACUGAUACUGUACUUGGCAGUGUUCGAAAACUCCAUGGGAUGUGUGCUAGGCCAACAUGACGAGUCAGGAAGAAAAGAAAAAGUGAUAUACUAUCUCAGCAAGAAAUUCACGAAAAGUGAGACGAGAUAUUCAUCAAUCGAGAAGUUGUGUUGUGCUUUGAUUUAGACAAUCCGAAGACUGAGACAAUACAUGUUAUACCACAGGACUUGGCUCAUAUCAAAACUAGACCCUCUGAAGUACAUGAUGGAGUUAAAUGCUUUGAACGGAAGGAUGGCUCGUUGGUAAAUUUUGCUUUCUGAGUUUGAUAUAGUUUACGUAAACCAAAAGGCUGUAAAGGGGAGUGCAAUAGCAGAUUUUCUGGCCAGUAGAGCUCUAGAAGAUUAUGAGCCGUUGAGCUUUGAUUUCCCGAAUGAGAAUCUAAUGUAUAUUGCGACCAUGGAAGAGGACUCUUAAGAAGGCCAUCCUUGGAAGUUGAAUUUUGACGGAGCUUCAAAUGCUAUAGGUAACGGAAUCGGGGCAGUUUUGGUGUCCCAAACGAAGAUCAUUAUCCUUUCACCAGUAAAUUGGAUUUUGACUGCACAAAUAAUAUGGCGGAAUACGAGGCAUGCAUCAUGAGCAUCCGUGCAGCAAUAGAAUGCAAGAUCAAGGUAUUAGAAGUAUACGGAGAUUCUAUAUUAAUGAUCUAUCAGCUUAAAGGUGAAUGGGAGACAAGAGACCCCAAGUUGAUAAAUUACCAAAGGCUGGUUCUUGAGUUAAUAGAGGAUUUUGAUGAUAUCACUUUCUGCUACCUCCCGAGAGAUGUAAAUCAGAUGGCUGAUGCCUUAGCAACCUUAGCUUUUAUGAUUAAAGUGAACAAGCAAGAGGAUAUGAAGCCCAUCCAAAUGAGUAUUUAUGAGGCUCCGGCUCUUUGCUGCAACAUCGAAGAAGAAGAAGAAAAAGAUGAUCGUCCUUGGUAUCAAGAUAUUUUGCGAUAUGUGAGGAAUCGUGAAUACUUAGACCAAGCGAUCGAAAAUGAUAAGAGGACAUCAAGAAGGUUGGCCAGUGACUAUAUCUUGGAUGGAGAGAUCCUAUAUAAAAGAAGGAAGGAUCAGGUACUCCUAAGAUGUGUGGACGCUGUUGAGGCUAAGUAAAUCUUGGAAGAGGUUCAUGAGGGUGUUUUCGGAACGCACGCUAAUGGUUUUACAAUGGCCAGACAGAUCAUGAGAUUCGGAUGUUAUUGGUCUACUAUGGAAGGAGAUUGUAUUAACUAUGCCAAGAAGUGCCAUAAAUGCUAAAUUUAUGGAGAUAAAAUUCAUGUACCUCCUUUACCCCUUCAUGUUAUGACUUCUCCAUGGCCUUUCUCCAUGUGGGGCAUGGAUGUCAUAGGAUCGAUCUCGCCGAAAGCAUCUAAUGGACAUCGAUUCAUCUUUGUGGUUAUAGAUUACUUCACCAAGUGGGUAGAGGCUACUUCUUACGCCAACGUUACCAAGUCAGCAGUCAGCAUGUUCUUAAAGAAAAAAAUCAUAUGUCGAUAUGGGAUGCCUGAAAGGAUCAUAUCAAACAAUGUACUGAACUUGAACAGCAGCACGAUAGUGGAAGUCUGUAGCCAAUUCAAGAUCAAACAUCAUAACUCGUCACCCAUCGCCCAAAGAUGAAUGGUGUAGUGGAAGCGGCCAAUAAGAACAUCAAGAAGAUCAUAGGAAAAAUGACCGAGACCUAUAAAGAUUGGCACGAAAAAUUACCAUUUGCCCUUUAUGCCUACCGGACGUCAGUCAGAACCUCUACCGGGGUGACGCCUUUCUCUUUAGUUUAUGGAAUGGAGGCGGUUCUGCUUAUUGAGUUCGAGAUUCCCUCUCUACGUUUGCUGUUAGAACUAAAGUUAGAUGAGGUAGAAUGGGUCCAGUCUCGAUAUGAUCAGCUGAACUUAAUUGAAGAAAAGAGACUAAAGGCUAUCCGUCAUGGUCAAAUGUACCAAAAGAGAAUGAUGCAGGCUUAUAAUAAGAAGGUUUUCCCUAGAGAAUUCCAUGAGGGAGACCUUGUUUUGAAAAAGAUUCUCCCCAUACAAAAGGACUUCAGAGGGAAAUGUAUGCCAAAUUGGGAGGGACCUUAUAUGGUAAAAAGGCUUUCUCUGGAGGAGCUCUGAUUUUGGCUGAGAUGGAUGGUAAAAACCUGCCUAAUCCCGUGAAUUUGGAUUCGGUCAAGAGGUACUUUACCUAAAAAAAAAUGGAGAGGCCAAGGCGAAAACCCGUAAAAGGGCGCUUUGAGACCAAAGAGGUUGAAUUGAAAACCCAGGAAUGAGCAAUUCAAAUUUUGAUCGAAGAUGGGGCUUGCGGUAGUCUUGUUUUCUCUGAAUUAAUAAGAAGGAGGAUGCUACAUAUUGGGGCAUCAACAAAGUACCCUUGGUCAUCCAAACACAUACCAAGUUUCAAAAGUUCCUCGAGAGGAUUUGUGCAAUGAAGCUCAUACUGCGAUAUCUGGAGCACUUAUUCUUAUCUCAUUCAUUUUGUAUUUUUUGGCAGAAUGUGCUAUCUUGAUUAAUUUGUUAGUUUUCGUUUGUAUCUUAGCAAAUUUGCUAUCUCAAUUACCCUAUUCAUUUUGAGUUUUGCUCUCAAUAAAAUUCCAUUUUAUCUAAUACGGUAAUUUUUUUCAAGCAUUUUUCGUUGAAAUGAUGAUUAAUGGACUAAUAAUAUUCAAAAAAAGAGUUCUGCAUAUUACUCUGAAAUGCUUCAAAAUGAUACAAGGACCUAAAACGGGAUUAAUUAGUUUGAAUCACCCUGCAUUCAAAGGUUGGAAACGUUGGGAAAGAAUAGCCCAAAUUGUGAUUAUUUCUUUAGGUUUUCUGCCAAAGAUACCAGUUGAAGAAAAAGAUAGAGUAAUACGUCAAUGAUAAAGCCUCGAUGCAUGACAAGUGAUAUCAAAUUAAGCAUUAAAAAAUGACAUUUUUGUAUUCAUGCAAACAUCAUUCAUACACAUUUAGUUAGGAGUAUUUGACUCAUUCUGAUCAUGACAUCCUAAUCAUUUGGCAUAAAUAGGCCCAUGAAAUAGAUUCAAUAGGUCAUGUUAUCCAAAGAAUGGUGUAACAGACCAAAAGAAAUCAAAAUCCUACAUCCCUAAAGAUACAGUGGGACGGAUUGAAAUCACCAUGACGAAUCUUGUCUCCCUGAAGUUGUAGUGAAACAGAUUGAAGUGGCGAAUCUUGUCUCCCUAAAGUUGUAGUGGAGCAGAUUGAAGUCACGAAUCUUAUCUCUCUGAAGUUACAGUAGAGUAGAUCAAAGCUACAUAUUACAGAGUCUUAUCUCCCUGAAGUUGCAGUAGAGCAAACUCAAUAUAGCAAAUCUUAUCUCUCUGAAGUUGCAGUAGAGCAGAUUAAAGCUAUAAAUCCUAUACCUAUGAAGUUGCAGUAGGUUGGAUCAAGUUACCAUGGCGAAUCUCAUCUCCCUGAAGUUACAGUGGAGCAGAUUAAAGUCACAGAGUCUUAUCUCCCUGAAGUUGCAGUGGAGCAGACUCAAUAUAGCAAAUCUUAUCUCUCUAAAGUUGCAGUAGAGUAGAUUAAAGCUAUAAAUCCUAUACCUCUGGAGUUGCAGUAGGUUGGAUCAAGUUACCAUGGCGAAUCUCAUCUCCCUGAAGUUACAGUGGAGCAGAUUAAAGUCAUAAGUCUUAUUUCCCUAAAUGUAGUGGAGCAGACUCAAUAUAGCAAAUCUUAUCUCUCUGAAGUUGCAGUAGAGCAGAUUAAAGCUAUAAAUCCUAUACCUCUGAAGUUGCAGUAGGUUGGAUCAAGUUACCGUGGCAAAUCUUAUCUCCCUAAAGUUACAGUGGAGCAAAUUAAAGUCACAGGUCUUAUCUCCCUGAUGUUACAGUGGAGCAGACUCAAUAUAGGAAAUCUUAUCUCUCUAAAGUUGCAGUAGAGCAGAUUAAAGCUAUAAAUCCUAUACCUUUGAAGUUGCAGUAGGUCAGAUCAAAUCUAUCAUGGCGAAUCUUAUCUCCCUAAAGUUUUAGUGGACUGGAACGAGGCUACCAAAGAAGUUAAGAUUCGGCGAGACUAGGCAAAAUUGGCCAUUAUGGAGUCUUUACUCUAUUCUCGUUACAUGACAAUGAGCAAAGAGGGGCAGCUAUAAUGACCAAUUUUUGGCCUAGGCAAAUAAACAAAAAAUAAAAUCCAAAUAACCAAAAAAAAGUCCAUUUUACAAACCAAAUCAGCCCAAUAAUACAAUACCCGAACCCAUACAAACCAAACCAGCCCAAAUUUUAAAACCAAAUACAAACUCAAACUACCCAGGCCCAUUUCUAACCCUAACCCAACAACACUUUCAGAAAACAAAGAACCCUAGCAUUGCAGCCGUUGCCCAGCCGCCCCCACGCGCGCCACCACCGCUAUCGCUGGCCACCACGCGUGUCUGACACCUACAAAGAAGGAUUCACACGCAAACAAAAGGAAACAACGAACAAGAGGACAAAAACGAUAGCAAACAAAAGAAAAAAACAACGAAUAAACAGACAAAGAAUAGAAAUAGAAUGAGUAUGUAUUCGGCUAUAAAAGCCAUUUUCGUUCCCUUUGUAUUUUUUUACGCGCAUUAAGCAAUCAAAAUAGCAAAAAACCAAAAAAGCUUGAUUUUAUUUCCAUUUUCG